CAAGUACUCCCUCCGUCCCAAAAUUCUUGUCUUAGAUUUGUCUAGAUACGGAUGUAUCUAAUACUAAAACGUGACAUGAUACAUCCGUAUUUAGACAAAUCUAAGACAAGAAUUUUGGGACGGAGGGAGUAUAUA
rnacentral:pre_miRNA from 1 species